UAAACUUGUGCGUCUAUGGAGUGAGAUGAGGAAAGGGCAUGCCAGCCGAGAGAAGCAUAGUUGAAGAAAUGGGAGCGAAUCCUGUUCCUUCAAAGAAGGUUCAGAGUUGUUCACCUGCUCAAAGGAUGUGUUAUGAGAUAUGUUGUUUGCUAGAAGGCCAGGAAGUUCAACUGAAUUGGAGGAAGAUUUGCCCUAUUCUUGGCCAUGGCAUGGUGACCUCUUAUUACUGAAUAAGGACUGCUUCAAAGCCAAUCAUUGGCGAAAACUAGGGAGAUGAGGUGGUUGUCAGGCCUCUGACCCCAAGCCUGCACGUAUACAUCCAGAUGGCCUGAAGCAACUGAAGAAUCACAAAAGAAGUGAAAAUGGCCUGUUCCUGCCUUAACUGAUGACAUUACCUUGUGAAAUUCCUUCUCCUGGCUCAGAAGCUCCCCCACUGAGCACCUUGUGACCCCAGCCCCUGCCCGCAAGAGAACAACCCCCUUUGACUGUAAUUUUCCACUACCUACCCAAAUCCUAUAAAACUGCCCCACCCCUAACUCCCUUUGCUGACUCCUUUUUUGGACUCAGCCCGCCUGCGUCCAGGUGAAAUAAAC